CGGCACGGCAGUUUGCACUGCGAGCGAGCAGGCAGGGCAAGGAAUGACACCUUGCCAUAGACGAGGAGGCUUAACUAGUCAUUUAACAGGUAGAUGCUCUCUGGAUGCCCCACCGUACAACCACGUCUCCACACGGCAGCUAGCUGCUACUAAAAGUAAUUUGGAGACUCAAACUGAAAGCAUGUACUCUCAUGCUGCAGUUCAGUUCCCUGACUGCGGAGAAUACAGGUCAGCAUGGAUACCUCUUGUGAACAGAGAAGAAUGAAUUUGGUGAGAACCCUGGAGAAGCACUAACAUUUUGGCAGAAGGAAGGUCUAUACUAUACAGUGCUGGUGGAAGGAAACACUUUCCUAGUAUAGAAAAAAGCAUUAAAGGUGAAAAUUGGACAGCACAGAGUUGCUGUGAAGUAUAUAAUUGCAGUCUGUGCUGCACACUCAACAGAAUUAACUCUGGGAAUCAGCUAUGUUUACCUUCUGCAAGCUUUCAGUGAUAACAAAAGCUGAAGACUGAGAAGUUGUUUCAGCUUACCUGAUGUGGCAGCCAAAGCCACUGACUUUAUCUCAUUCAGCUGUACACCUGUACGACGUUCUCCUCCUGCUCCCUGCCCAGCAGCACGUGUCAUCUGCUGUGUGAGGUUACCUGGUGUUUGCUGCCCCACACAAGUCUCAGAAAAUGUACACAGAUAUCAUUCUGCUGUCAGCAAAACAGCCGUGGGCAGAAAACUGAGACAGUGUGGUGCCAAGAACAGGAAAAUGACAAGGUAUUCUGGACUGUGCCAUACAGAAGAAUUCUGUUUAUCCACCACCAUUUGCCAUGGGGCAACAUUUUCUAGUAAAGUUUAAAAAAAUAUAAAGGCAAUACACACACGCAAAAUAAAUUUGCUAGGGUGUAACCAUUGAAAUCACCACUGGUUCUAAGAGAGCACAUUCAGCUUGUUUUGGAGCCUCUACUAGGUUCUUUAUUGUCACAAAGUUUUCUACUGCUUUAUCAAUAUUGCUCUCGCUGGUUUAAAACUACCCUGUGUAUACACCUGUCAUCCUCAUUACUUUUUUCAGUAAGAAUGCCUUUGUGUAAGAAAUCAGAAGCAUCUAUGAAUUUUCACACUAUGGAAUUACCUUUGUGAAGCCAUAGAAUAACUUCAGACUGUAGAAACCCCUGGUGGUCCCUUCUCUACAAAGCUGUAAUACGUCAGGUUGCUCAGGACAGUCAAGUUUCCUGUCUCUCUGAAGAUGUAGAACCCAUAGCCUCUCUGAGAAACAUAUUCAUUACUUCCUACUUAAUUUUCUUCCUCACAGAAAAGUUAAAGAGAGAGAGUUGUUGUUAUUUGUUCGCUUUAUACCCUUUUUACCUGAACACACUGUACAUUUUUCAGUGACCUGGGUAACCUGAUUAGCAGUCAGUCUUGAAAAACAAGAGAGGUAAUAAUAGAGUAUUUUGUCCUCUUUUCCCUGAAGAGAAAUAUUCUGUUUUUUGCAUAUGAGCUUUUUAUUAUAACAGCAACCCCAAAUGUCCCAUUCCUGGUCAUAUACCUAUAGUUAGUAAUUAUUUUUUUCCCAGAUGAAACCACACUCUCAAAGUAUACAUGGACCUUACAUAAUAAGAUGUUGAAAUAUCUGCUUUUUUUUUUUAUCAUUAUUUUUUUUUUCCCUACAGAAAUGCUGGCUUUAUGCUGAAGGAAUAUUAAUACUAGUUUAAAUAGAAUAACACUGAAUGUUCUGAUAAGUCUGAUGGUGUUGAAGGAGAAUGAGGUGUCUAUGCCUUUUAAUAUUCUGCUAAAGGAAGAUGUAGUCAGCUCUGUGUAUGGGCAGAUGCUAUUGCUUCUGUGCAUCUGAUAACCACUUGGUUUAAAGAAGUGUGUCUGACUUCUUUGUUCCUCUUUUUCCCACCUCCU